CCUACGGGUGGCAGCAGUGAGGAAUAUUGGUCAAUGGACGCAAGUCUGAACCAGCCAUGCCGCGUGCAGGAUGACGGCCCUAUGAGUUGUAAACUGCUUUUGUACGAGGGUAAACCCCGAUACGUGUGUCGGGUUGAAAGUAUCGUACGAAUAAGGAUCGGCUAACUCCGUGCCAGCAGCCGCGGUAAUACGGAGGAUCCGAGCGUUAUCCGGAUUUAUUGGGUUUAAAGGGUGCGUAGGCGGUUUGAUAAGUUAGAGGUGAAAUGUCGGGGCUCAACCCCGAAACUGCCUCUGAUACUGUUAGACUAGAGGACAGUAGCGGUAGGCGGAAUGUAUGGUGUAGCGGUGAAAUGCUUAGAGAUCAUACAGAACACCGAUUGCGAAGGCAGCUUACCGAACUGUAUCUGACAUUGAGGCACGAAAGCGUGGGUAGCAAACAGGAUUAGAUACCCUUGUAGUC
rnacentral:rRNA from 1 species